rnacentral:rRNA from 1 species
UACGUAGGGUGCGAGCGUUAAUCGGAAUUACUGGGCGUAAAGCGUGCGCAGGCGGUUCGUUAAGUCAGAUGUGAAAGCCCCGGGCUCAACCUGGGAACUGCAUUUGAAACUGGCGGGCUUGAGUGUGGCAGAGGGGGGUGGAAUUCCGCGUGUAGCAGUGAAAUGCGUAGAUAUCAGGAGGAAUACCGAUGGCGAAGGCAGGUCUCUGGGCUGACACUGACGCUCAUGCACGAAAGCGUGGGGAGCAAACAGG